GUGUCAGCAGCCGCGGUAAUACGGAGGAUGCAAGCGUUAUCCGGAAUGAUUGGGCGUAAAGCGUCCGCAGGUGGCUAAUCAAGUCUUAUGUUAAAGCGCGGAGCUUAACUCCGUACAGGCAUAGGAAACUGGGUAGCUAGAGUACGGUAGGGGUCACGGGAAUUCCCGGUGUAGCGGUGAAAUGCGUAGAUAUCGGGAAGAACACCAGCGGCGAAAGCGCGUGACUGGGCCGUAACUGACACUCAUGGACGAAAGCUAGGGGAGCGAAAGGGAUUAGAAACCCUUGUAGUCC
rnacentral:rRNA from 1 species